UACGUAGGGGGCAAGCGUUGUCCGGAUUUACUGGGCGUAAAGAGCGUGUAGGCGGCCAGGCAGGUCUGUUGUGAAAACUGGAGGCUCAACUUCCAGACGUCGACAGAAACCGCUUGGCUAGAGUCCGGAAGAGGAGAGUGGAAUUCCUGGUGUAGCGGUGAAAUGCGCAGAUAUCAGGAAGAACACCGAUGGCGAAGGCAGCCCUCUGGGACGGUACUGACGCUGAGACGCGAAAGCGUGGGGAGCGAACAGG
rnacentral:rRNA from 1 species